CGCUCAGUAGAUCACGUACGAAACCGGUGCAAAUUAAAUGUUCGGAUUAAAGGUCUGUAUAAUUUUCGACAUUUUGGGAUCGAACGAAGAUUUGGUUUUGUCGAUCGAAGCGCGAAAUCGUAACCUGUUUAUUUUCUCAAAGGAUUUAUAAUCUUAGUAUUUAAAGAUGUCUGAGCCAAGUUGGUGUCUUAUUGGCGCAUUUGUUAUCAUCGUUUUUCAACAGAUUGCUCCCAUAGCGUCGCAGAAGCGUAUGUAAAAACUAAAUUUUAAAGUACCGUAUGUUAAAACAAG